rfam:Picea glauca, whole genome shotgun sequence.
GGUCCCAUAGUAUAGUGGUUAGGACACUGGACUUUAAAUUCAGUAACUUGAGUUCAAAUUUCGGUGGGACCU